CCUACGGGUGGCAGCAGUGAGGAAUAUUGGUCAAUGGCAGGGAUCCUGAACCAGCCAAGCCGCGUGAGGGAAGCCGGCCCCAUGGGUUGUAAACCUCUUUUGUCGGGGAACAAAACCCGGGACGUGUCCCGGACCGCGUGUAUCUGAAGAAAAAGCAUCGGCUAACUCCGUGCCAGCAGCCGCGGUAAUACGGAGGAUGCGAGCGUUAUCCGGAUUUAUUGGGUUUAAAGGGUGCGUAGGCGGUCUGUUAAGUCAGCGGUAAAAUUGCGGGGCUCAACCCCGUCGAGCCGUUGAAACUGGCUGACUUGAGUUGGCGAGAGGUACGCGGAAUGCGCGGUGUAGCGGUGAAAUGCAUAGAUAUCGCGCAGAACUCCGAUUGCGAAGGCAGCGUACCGGCGCCAGACUGACGCUGAGGCACGAAAGCGUGGGGAUCGAACAGGAUUAGAUACCCCUGUAGUC
rnacentral:rRNA from 1 species